CUAUGUAUAGCGCAGUUUGGUAGCGCACCUGCCUUGGGAGCAGGGGGUCGCAGGUUCAAAUCCUGCUACAUAGACCA
rnacentral:tRNA from 1 species